AUGUCAUGUAGUGUGUCCUCAGCUCGUGAUUGGAACUUCUGGUCUGAUAGUGUCUAUGAGGGCCCUGCGAUGAAACAUAAGGAAAAUGCUGUCCACGCCAAGUUGGUUGCCUGGAAGGAUUCACAGAUUGUAAAGCUCAUAUACAAGCUGAAUCAGAAAGAUCGAUGGCAGAAGAACAAGAUUGCACGGCCAGGGAUCAGGGAUGAGCUUACAGAAACUGAGGAACAAGAGCAAGGGAGGUUACCAACGAGAGAGGACUUGGUCAAGUGUUUCUCUAUGCCACGAAACAUCCGACUACAGACUCCCAGGCACCCUUCUCUGCCGGAUAUGAGAGUUGACGGAUCCAAUAGAGGGCCUCCAAAAUUCGUCCACAAGGCCACGCCAGCUAGAUUGAUGCGCCGAGCUCGCUCCUCACAUAAUUACCAUGGGAAGCACAUGGAAGCAAUUGAUGCUGUCAAUGAAUGGAGAUUGCCUAAAGUAAGUGAAGAGGAAGAUGAGGCAGUGGAUCAGAAGGGCUGGCAGGAUGAUACCAUGUCAUGUCGUGUAUCCUCAGCUCGUGAUUGGAACUUCGGGUCUGAUAGUGUCUAUGAGGGCCCUGCGAUGAAACAUAAGGAAAAUGCUGUCCACGCCAAGUUGGUUGCCUGGAAGGAUGCACAGGUUUCAAUGCUCAUUGACAAAGCACUUAUGAUGUUACUUGAAUCAACUAGGCUGAAAGCCCAGAUCGAUGAAUGGCAGAAGAAUAAGUUUGCAUGGGCCAAGGAUAAACUGGCAAAAACUGAGAAGAAGUUGGAGAAGCAAAGAACUGAAACCGUAGUGAAGAUGCAAAAGGCGAUAGAAGAUGCAGAGAGGAAAGAUGAUAUGAAGAGUCAAGAAGAGGCAGCCGCCAAGAGUAAGAUAGCUGGUUUCGAGAGAGCCCUUCAGAUGAUGCCUAGGGCAGGAAGGCAGGCCGAUUGUCAAAUACUACUGAAGGGACCGUAUACUGUAUAG
rnacentral:rRNA from 1 species